rnacentral:lncRNA from 1 species
UAAUAUUGUAUAGUUUACUCUGUAACACUUGAUCUGGUCGUCAAAUUUAAAAUGUGAGAUAUCAUAUUCGUUGUCGAAACAAUUAUGUUGGGGAUAAAUUUGAAUUGAACAACAAAUAAGAACGAAUAGAGAAAAUUGGACACAAAUAUUUUCAUGGAAAAACUCUUCUAAAAAGGAUAAAAAAAAACACGGGCAAAGAAAGCUUCACUAAAACGACAAAUAGCCAAAGAAUAAUACAAGACGGAAAAAAAAAAACAAAACAAGCCCCUAAAUCCCAAAAAAUACAAAGCUCUUUGGCUAAAACACAAAAUUCCCUUACACACUCUUUUGUUGUGUUGUCG